UUAUCCCCAUGACCAACUGCCUCGCUCCCCAAAAAUAGUUUACCUUUGGGCGUUGGCCCCGCCACGCCCACUGACCCCUUGCGUGACUGCCCGUAUCCACCCGCUCCCACAGUCCUCUUCAGUUUUCCAGCUAGCCAGCCAGCCACAUAAGCUAAGCUCGGAGUUCCCUAAUGCUUGUUUAUGUGGGAAAGCGUUUGGGAUUGGCACUUCUCCAGUUAUAAAUAGAGGCCCCCUACAACUGACAAAAACGGGAACAAUAUCUCAGGUGCCAAGAAGGGGUAGACCAGUAAAAUGAUAUUCGGUAGAUUGAUAGCGCACUAAAAAAAAAAACUCGUGAAGUUGGCGCGAACAUUCUAUUUACAUACAAACUCUUAUGAGUAAAGUGACAUCAGCCUAUUUCAUCCGCUUAAUCUUCCUUUAAAGGUGAAGUGCAAUACCCAGCAAAAUUUUAAGUGGAUUUUUAAGUGAAUUUUCCGAGGACCGCAUAUGCUGCUCGAGGCGUUUCCGGAAAAUUUAAAAGUGUAACCCCAAAAAUCAUUUGCACAGCAUUCAUGGGGGACUCAUUAGGCGGGGCUUCCCCCUUUCUGUCGGAACGAAUAACUUUUAUUUUUCGCCCCAGAGUCCUCCACUUCAUCACGACGCUGUUGUUGACAAUGAGCGAAACAUUUGCGUAUCGAAAUUGGCAAGACCCCGGGCGGCGGCCAAGGAUAUUCCGGCCUCCACAUUCCCGUAAGACAUGAAUAUUCAUCCUUUGGCGGAGCGAGUCCCAAUCGAGCAAGAAGAUGCUUCAGGUUGCCGGGGCUUUUGGGAUUAACAUAAAAUUUCAGUUGAUUGUGUUUUGGUGAAGAUUUUUAUGGGAUAUAAGGGAUUUUAUGGGGCAGCUAACUUGUUGGCCUCGAUGCCUAGUGAAAUCUCAACGGGCCAUAAGAUUGAUGGCAAUUGCUUAUACAAUGGCCAAGGAUAUUUCAGCUUUAUCGCCCAUGUGCCUGAGUGAGUGGUUAAGUGUUGAUGUGGAUUUUUAAAUUUGACCAUAUUUAAAUGAUAAAACUAUUAGGAUUUUUGAAUACCCCCCAAAUUGUAGAGUAAAAGGGUAUGUUUAUAAUCGAACUGGAAGGAAGUCGUAUAAAAUGUGAGGGCUCUUCACAAAUCCUAGCAAU
rnacentral:lncRNA from 1 species